AGUGGAAUUUCUGGGUUAUAUGGUGACUUUAUGGUUCAUAUUUUGAGAAACUGCCAAACUGUUUUUCAGAAUGAGUACACCAUUUUACAAUCCAACCAGCAAU
rnacentral:pre_miRNA from 1 species